UACGAAUGGAGCAAGCGUUGUUCGGAAUCACUGGGCUUAAAGCGUGCGCAGGCGGUUUGUAAAGUCAGAAGUGAAAGCCCUGGGCUCAACCCAGGAACUGCUUUUGAAACUCACAAACUAGAAUCCGGGAGAGGUUAGUAGAAUUCCUAGUGUAGAGGUGAAAUUCGCAGAUAUUAGGAGGAAUACCAGUGGCGAAGGCGACUAACUGGACCGGUAUUGACGCUCAGGUACGAAAGCGUGGGGAGCAAACAGG
rnacentral:rRNA from 1 species